GGAGGGCCACGUUUAAGUCCCGUAUUAAAAUCCUUUCAGCGGACAGUCUCUAUUAUUGAGUGUUUCAUGAUUUCGCGAUACAGAGUCCCUUUUCAGGGUAAAACCAUUUCGCGAAAUUUAAGAACGCUCAACAAGAGGAGGGCCACGUUUAAGUCCAGUAUUCAAAACCUUUCAGUGGACAGUCUCUAUUAUUGAGUGUUACAUCAUUUUGCGAUAGAGUUCAAAGAAAAAAAAACUUCUCGCAAAAUGAAAUAACGCUCAACAAGAGGAGGGCCACGAAUAAGUCCCCUCUGUGGACAGUCUCUAUUAUUAAAUGUUAUGUGAUUUUUAGGGACAGAGCUCCUUUACACGGAAAAAUCAUCCCAUUAAAUCAAACAACACUCAACAAGAGGAGGGCCACAGAGAUCCUUAAAUCCUUUCCCAUUCUUUCAAAAAAAAACAAGGUUUUUUUUAUGGAGAGGGGGAUGAAUGUAACCUCUUACUUCGGCUACAUUUGCAUUUGUAAAUAUUUUGUACAGUAGUUUUGGUAUUCCCUGUUCUUUUAUUUGUUAUUACUGCUAUUACUAUUCACAAAUUAUUAUUACUAUUGCUGUUGCUAUUGACAUUAUUAUAUAAUCAAAAAAAAAAAAAACAAUGAAUUCGAUGAGCUAGAAAUAAGAACGAACUGAAAAUCAAACGAAUAUGAACCAAAAGUUAUACCGAGAAUAAAUUAUUCCCAAUGCCUUUGAACACCCCUCCUUUACCUAUCCCACAACGUUACACAUAACCGCCACAGUUGACUACGACUGUCGGGAAUAAAUCCUAUACCAGGAAGGAGGAACCCCUUAAAAGGGACUGUCAGCGACUGAAUCGCUCUCUAUUAGUGAACGCCUGUGAACGCGUGUUUCAAUUGCCCGGUAGUGCUACGAAGAGUGUCCUGGAGGAUUUCGUUCAUCCUGUGCUUCCUGCAUCGGAUUCGUCCGGUAGAAGAAGAACGGUAGAAGAAGAAGUGCAAGGAACCGGCGGAUCUUGGAGAGUGAGUGCUAUAAUCUCGGAAGACGUAAAGCCCCGGUGCGCCAUCCAUCCGACAGAGGGACGAUUACCACCAUCCCGUUCGACUUCAGAGGAGCCGUUUUCGCCACUCCACUGGCGGAGCAUAGAAGGAUCCACCGUGAUCGCCCACGCCGGCCCAGGUUUGAAGAGGAUCGAGAUGAUGCGUCGAAGGUUAUGCCACGGGACCCGCCCGUUUCGCGACACGAUGCCACCCGGUGCAAUCCAGCACGGACAACAAUGAAGCUAUUAUUCUUGAGAGGUGUGUAAACGAUUGUAUCCUUAUCAUUUCCCCGUAAAUCCUUUUUCAUUAAAAUGAAUAAUUGAACUGAA